rnacentral:rRNA from 1 species
CACGUAGGGGGCAAGCGUUGUCCGGAUUUAUUGGGCGUAAAGAGCUCGUAGGUGGCUCAGUAAGUCGGGUGUGAAACCUCCAGGCUCAACCUGGAGACGCCACCCGAUACUGCUGUGGCUAGAGUCCAGUAGGGGAGCGUGGAAUUCCUGGUGUAGCGGUGAAAUGCGCAGAUAUCAGGAGGAACACCAGUGGCGAAGGCGGCGCUCUGGGCUGGAACUGACACUGAGGAGCGAAAGCGUGGGGAGCAAACAGGAUUAGAUA